GGAGCAAGAGUCGGUCGACGGGACCAGUGGAUGCUGAAGCUGAAGGAAAUAGAGGAAGAUUGCCCAACUCAACACACCCGUUACCUUGCAAAAAGGGGAACAUCGGUUUCUCGUGGGCUGGAAGAUGAAGAUUACCCAUGUGAGCUCCUUUUCAUCUGCGGUGCAUCUGUGGUCACGACAAGUUGUGGUAAUGGGAGCAUGGAACAGGGAUCCAGUGCUGAGAUGAUGUGGGUCUGCCCACCAUCACAUGGAUUGGCGAAUUUGAUGAGAUAAGUGUAGCCAUUGCAUCUGGGUGGCCCUUUGGCCCUUUGGGAGGCCAAAAGUAGAGAAGGAACCAGUGCUAUAAGAUGCAGGAACACAGAUGUGCAUAGGGGGAAGAUGUGCAUCAUGGAGGCCAUGUAGCCCAGUAGCUGUUGUACCAUGCAAACAUGGUGUCAGUGAUGACUUGCCACUUUGGUAGCUAAUGUGGAGAUGUUACGGAUCCUUCUGGCUGGUAGGAAGAUCUUGGCAUGUACAUAAUGGAACAAGAGUCCUAUGAAUUUGAUGCAUCUGGUGGGGUGGAAUUUGGACUUCUUGUAAUUUAUCUGGAGACUGAGAAGACACAGGCGGGAAAGACAUCAAUAGCAGGUGAGGGAAUUACAGAGAAGUUGUUGACUGACAAGAAGGCAGCAGGAGCCAGAUUGAAUCUAUGGCAGCUGGUGUGGGUGGAGUGUUGAUUAAGUGCAGUUGUCAUGCCCUUACCCUCAGAUAGUGAAGAGGAGGAGGAAGCUGGCAACCUUCCAGCUGAGCAAGAGGAGGAGAGUUCUUUCGUCAGGCUGCAGGAAAAAGCUGAAUCUACAGCAGCUGAGGGAGGAGGGCAAUUAGCCAAGUGCUGUCAACAGACCACGACCAAGUUGCUAGAAACAAUGUGUCAUUCCUGGAGUGUUGCUGCGGCCCCAGCCUCUGACUCUGAGGGAUUCCAGCUUCAUGUUGGCUUUGGAGUUUCUGGCUGGUCCUGACCAACCCUUGCUCCCUUCUCAUGACCGGACUGCUAUGCCCAGUCACUAUUUCCUUCCGUGGAGGAGGCCUUGCAGCAUGUUGGGCUCUGGACCCGUAGCUAUCUGGUGAGCGAACCAGGUUGUGGGGGCAGGCAGUUUGAACUGGACACUUCCAGUAAAUUGAUCUCUUGUGGUUUCUUUUCAGACCGAGAGGGACUCUGAGGAGCUGCCUGCGACCCUGCCUGAGACCUCAAUGAAGACGUCUGACAGAUGAACCAGAAAGGAUGCCGAGGAACUUCUAGCGGCCUUGACAAAGACCUUGACUCGGAUGCCGGACCGACAGACUCCUGUCGCAUGUGGCUGCUGAAUAUAAAUUUGGCAGCCUGUGCCUUGAACAAACUUCUGGGAAAAAUACAUCUAAUCUGCUUUGAGCUUUUGUCGGAGAGUGAGUAACAGCAGGAGAGAGGACAUGUCCUCAACUCCUGCCUGUGGGCUUCCGGCAGCAUCUGGUGGGCCACUGUGUGAAACAGGGUGCUGGACUAGAUGGGCCUUGGGCCUGAUCCAGCAGGGCUAUUCUUAUGUUCUUAACAUGUUCUGGUGUAUAUACCUGAGUGUCCUAGCAUAGUGAGGAAGGCUUAAAGCUAGUACUACCUGUUAUUGUUGCAAAUCUGUCUUAUGUAGCUAUUCUGUGCUUCUGUGUGCAAUGACACCAGUUGUAGAACAGUUCUCUGUGCUUACUUCUGACAUAUGUCUUGGGCUGCUUUCAUUGUGUUUCCAGCAUUUAGUGUGUCCUGAGAAUCAAAGGUCAUCAUGGCUCGCAUUUCCAAAAUGGUGGCAUACAUCAGUGCAUGAUACAUGCUGUCUUUUGCUCUGUAGAAGAGAGAAACAUGCAUCUUAAGAGAUACAGAAGGUUAAAAAAGCAGUAAAAUGAUUGUAAAGAGGCUGGCCUUUAAGAUGGUAGAGUAAUUGAAGUUGGGUUGUUAGAGGCAGGAUGUCUCUUAUUUUAUCCUUCUCCUCAUUCCAAAGGCUUUCAGAGCAGCUAACAAAUGAAGAGAAGAAAAAACAAACAAUAAAACAACAUCAGCACAGCAAAGCAGCAUAACAUAUACUAAAAAACAGCAUUAGUGUCACAUCAAGGUAAAAACUAAUUUAAACAUGGAAGUUCUAAAAGGACUGAGAAAUUAAGAAAUCUCCAUCCAGGGCAAACAUGUUAAGGUCAGCAAUAGGCAAUGCUCUCUGAGAAGAACAGAGGGCUACUGCUCUCAGACAGGUCUCCUUAAUAAAGCUGGAUUUCCAUAAGGAGCAGACUAGGGUCUUAAACAAAAGACAAGUCCCGAGAAAGGGAAUAACCACACCAAAAAUGUAAUCAAAGCAAGCUCCAAGACAAUUAGUUAGGUUUGGCAUAAUAGUGUCUGGGCGAUCCAUCUGAAUCAUAUCUCCUCGACCUAUGUAUUCCCCCUUGUAUCCACAACAGAGAUUCCUAAUUAUAUCCUCUAACUGAACCUUCCUGCCUUUGCAGGUCUUGCUAGGAGACCUCAAAACCAAAACAAAACACCAUAAACACCAUAAGAACAGUCCUUCUGGAUCAGGCCCAAGGAGGCCUAUCUAGUUCAGCAUCCUGUUUCCCACAGUGGCCCAUCAGAUGCCUGUGGGAAGCCCACAGGCAGGAGAUGAAGGCAUGCCCUCUCUCCUGCUGCUGCUCCCCUGCAACUGAUGUUCAGAGGCAUCCUGCCUGAGCCUGAGCCUGGAGUAGAGUUGCCUACAUGUUGUUGCCGGAAUACCAGAAACAAGAGGAGGUGUGGCAUUAUUUCUGCACAUGCUCUCCCUCUUCCAUUCUUCUUACACACCUCUUUCCUAUACACACGAGAGAAUACAAUGCAAUGGAGUUCUCUCUUCCAUUGCUCACCCCGCGCUUCCCUGGUAGGUGGCCUGUGCAGCAGCCACACAGCAGCCACCACAAUUCCAGGCACCCCAUUUUCCCGCAACAGCUUCCCUGGCAGCGUGCAUGGUGGCCUCACAGCAGCUCCAGGCGCCCCGUUGCUCAACCUGCCGCUUCCCUGGCGGCGGAGCCAAAAUAAGGGGGAAAUGGCAUCCAGAGCAGGACAACCAUUUCCCCUCAGAAAUACGGGAUGUCCCAGAUAAUCCUGGACUGUUGGCAACCCUAGCCUGAAGCUAGCCUAUAGCCAACAAGACUAGUAGUCAUAGGCAGAUGACUAGUCUUGAUGGCUACGGGCUACCUCUAGGCUUAGAGGCAGAAUACUUUGCAUACUAGUGAAUACUUUUGGUUUUAGGCAUGUGUGUGAGACUUCCUACAUGGAACCAUAGUGGCAUGAUCUAUCCUGUACUGCUCUGAAGCCUCAUCUCACCAAGUGCCUUUUUGGGUGCUCAGACUUCCUUGAGUUGACUCACUGGUCUGAGUCUCAAUUCUGAGUUGAAAUCACUGAGUUUUGGGUCAUUGCCAUUGUGGGCUUGCUGUGGGCUUCUCCUGUUAGCUGGAAACCUGGAAACCCCUGGACCUUAGAAAUGAAUCACUGAAACUUUAAACGAAGCCACUGAGAUUGAGUUUCUCUCAUGGGCAUCCACAGAACCUUUUUCCGGGGUGGGUGGAAGGAUUACACAAGCUUAAGACUGCACCGUAAUUUAAGUACUAUUAUUUCAAUGGUUUUUACUCUAAACAGGACUAACAUGGGUACAGCUAGGGUUGCCAACAAUGUGUUGGCUGAAAUCGGGACAGUGUCUCAGGGGGGCCGGGGGCAUGGCCACCUAGGGGCGGGGCUUUUUUAAAAAACCAACCUUUUAAAGCUGCAGCAGGACAGGUGGCGAGAGCUCCCCCGGCACCACAAACUCUGGGAAUGGCUGCUCUGGCCAGGGCAGGGCUGUCUGGGGCAGGCAUGGCACACUGACAAGCAGGUAAAAGAAUUAUGAAAGGCACUCACCACAGCGGCUCCAUGCCACUGACUGACUAGGACUCACUGCAGGGAGCCAAAGGAGGGUGUCGGAGAGAGGGCGGGUGAAAGACUCACUUCCUCGGCCCUGCCUUCCUCCAAAGGAGGCAGACAGGCCGAUUUCAGGCUUCUGUGCACACGGUUAGUGCUUGAGAGAGUGCUUUUCAUAAUUCUUUUACUUGUCUGUCAGCACACUGCGCCUGCCACAGCUGGAGCAGCCAAUCUGAGAGUUUGGCAGGCACCGCGAGAGCUCUCCCUGCCCGUUCUGCUGUUCUGCCACCACACAGCAGCAGCUUUAAAAAAAAUUUUUUUUUAAUUGAAAAAAAUUUAAGGUCAAAAAGCGGGAGAAAUUGCGCCCCGAAUGCGACAAGCAUUUCCUGGCUGAAAGUUGGGACAGUUGGCAACUCUAGAACCAGGACAGUUGGCAACUCUAGAACCAACACAUUUACUAAUGUUAAAGAGCAUAAUUUCCUCGCAGAUCUAUCUAUCAAAGUGGGAAAUGCAACUAAAUUCCUGAAAAUAUGAACAAACACAUCUACUACCAAUCAGAUUUAAAACCUUACAUGAAAUUCCAGUUUCUUAACAAUGUACAAGAAUGUUAAAAUAAUGUAUGUUUUGUGAGGUAGGGAGUGCUGCUUAAUACUCAGUUUUGCAGUCUUUAACCCUUGGUGAAAUAAACAGACAAUAUGGGUUAUGGAAAA